rnacentral:rRNA from 1 species
AUUGAACGCUGGCGGCAUGCCUUACACAUGCAAGUCGAACGGCAGCACGGGAGCAAUCCUGGUGGCGAGUGGCGAACGGGUGAGUAAUAUAUCGGAACGUGCCCAGUCGUGGGGGAUAACGUAGCGAAAGCUACGCUAAUACCGCAUACGAUCUAUGGAUGAAAGCGGGGGAUCGCAAGACCUCGCGCGAUUGGAGCGGCCGAUAUCAGAUUAGGUAGUUGGUGGGGUAAAGGCUCACCAAGCCGACGAUCUGUAGCUGGUCUGAGAGGACGACCAGCCACACUGGGACUGAGACACGGCCCAGACUCCUACGGGAGGCAGCAGUGGGGAAUUUUGGACAAUGGGCGCAAGCCUGAUCCAGCAAUGCCGCGUGCAGGAUGAAGGCCUUCGGGUUGUAAACUGCUUUUGUACGGAGCGAAAAGGCUUCCACUAAUACUGGGGGCUCAUGACGGUACCGUAAGAAUAAGCACCGGCUAACUACGUGCCAGCAGCCGCCGCGGUAA